rnacentral:rRNA from 1 species
GACGAACGCUGGCGGCGUGCUUAACACAUGCGAGUCGAACGGAAAGGCCCCUUUGGGGGUACUCGAGUGGCGAACGGGUGAGUAACACGUGAGUAACCUGCCCUUGACUUCGGGAUAACUUCAGGAAACUGGGGCUAAUACCGGAUAGGAAUCCUUGCUGCAUGGUGGGGGUUGGAAAGCUUCGGCGGGUUUGGAUGGACUCGCGGCUUAUCAGCUUGUUGGUGGGGUAGUGGCUUACCAAGGCUUUGACGGGUAGCCGGCCUGGGGGGGCGACCGGCCAACAUGGGGCCUGGGGUACGCCCCAGAUCCCACCGGGGGGAAGCGGUGGGAAUUUUUCCCCAUGGGGGGGAGGCCGGUGGCGGAAACCCCGCGGGCGGAAUGCCGGCCUUCGGGUGUAAACCCGCUUUCGGCGGGGCGGAGCCUGUUGUUACGGUACCUGCCAAAAAAGCCACGGCUAACUACGUG